rnacentral:misc_RNA from 1 species
AAAAAGAAGAAGAAGAAGAAGCAGAAAGCAACAAGUUCAACAAUUUCUACUUAAAAGGAAAUAAGUAUUUAUUAAAAAAUAGGGCAUUAAGAAAAGGGAGAACAUCCUAACCCACUGGAUGUAUAUCUAAUUAGUUCCCCCAGCGUACACAAUUAAUUAACUAGUUUACAUUUUUCAUCAGAAGCUAUGAUAUACAUACAGCUCCUCAGCAAAGUGCACGAUUCAUCCCUGCUUAUCCUAUUCUACUCUUGUUAAAAUCUGCGGGUACUCAUUACAAAUGCAGGCUUAAAGACUACAAGCUGCUUAGCCAUUGAUGCGAUCUUUUAGCCCAUGGAUCUGAUGAAUUUACUUUUUGUUGCCAAUGCAUAGAAGAAGCCAGCUGCAUUCCUUAUCAAAUAUCAAAAUGCACGCAGAAUAGUAAAACAAGCAAGAAAAUACAGAAACGAAGGACUUAGAGAAAAGUUACUAGCAAUUCUACCUACAACUUCAACCAGAUUGUUGAUUCUAUUAUAAAAAUAUCAAAAUUUGAACAAAAUUACGUAUUAAAUCUCUCAGGAAAAUGCCAACUUACAGCAUAAGAUUUACGUCUUUUAA